UUGUUCGAGCAUAGCACGCCUACCCUUUGCUCUUGGACUCGGGCUGUUUCGGCCAUAUUGGCAAAGGAACAAUUAUGUCGACGGUCGUCGCCACCCAGAGACUUAAAUUUCAGUAUAGGUCCAAUUUAAUGUCAGUAUUAUCCAGAUAAGAAGGAAAAUUUGGAUUGUUAUGCUACCAGAAUUGCUGAGUUUCGCCAGCAACGUCUAUUUCUGCUGAUUUUUGUUUGCUGAGAUAAAAAAUAAUGAUAAAAUUGCUGCAAUCUUCCUGGAUCAUCUGUCUGCUUUCUCAUCAGAGAGGGAUGACUGGAGGUGGUUUAAAGCGUGCCAUAGACAAGGGAAAAAUUGAAAAGGAAAGUCCUUCAUGGUAGCUUCAUCUGGUGUGGAAGUUGAAUGCUUAAUGUUGGCAUUGUCAUGCAUCAGGAACCAACUGUCUAGUCAAGUGAACUGAACAAUAUAUAAUGUGAUAAUAACAGAAAUCUGGCUUAAAGAAGGACAUAUUCCUGGUGGCAUUUGAGAAUUUUUAUGUCAUUGAGCGGAAUCGAUUUGGGUACUGAGCGAAGACGACUAUGGUGAAAUGUAUGGCAGAAUCAGACAAGGUCCAACAUCAAGAUCAUCUGGCUCCAUCUUUUAUGCUUUUCACAAACAAUAUUCUUGCUAGUCAGCAGUGAGAUGCCAAUGGUUUAACACUGGAUAAAUGCAAUGAUAACAAA